rnacentral:rRNA from 1 species
UAGGGAAUCUUCCACAAUGGGCGCAAGCCUGAUGGAGCAACACCGCGUGAGUGAAGAAGGGUUUCGGCUCGUAAAGCUCUGUUGUUAAAGGAGAACACGUAUGAGAGUAACUGUUCAUACGUUGACGGUAUUUAACCAGAAAGUCACGGCUAACUACGUGCCAGCAGCCGCGGUAAUACGUAGGUGGCAAGCGUUAUCCGGAUUUAUUGGGCGUAAAGAGAGUGCGGGCGGUUUUCUAAGUCUGAUGUGAAAGCCUUCGGCUUAACCGGAGAAGUGCAUCGGAAACUGGAUAACUUGAGUGCAGAGGAGGGUAGUGGAACUCCAUGUGUAGCGGCGGAAUGCGUAGAUAUAUGGAAGAACACCAGUGGCGAAGGCGGCUACCUGGUCUGCAACUGACGCUGAGACUCGAAAGCAUGGGUAGCGAACAGGAUUAGAUACCCUGGUAGUCCAUGCCGUAAACGAUGAGUGCUAGGUGUUGGAGGGUUUCCGCCCUUCAGUGCCGGAGCUAACGCAUUAAGCACUCCGCCUGGGGAGUACGACCGCAAGGUUG